AUUACUUUGGCAGAGAGUAUGCGUUAGGUUUAGGGCCUAAAAAGAUAGGGGGUCCUAUAGGUAAUA
rnacentral:tRNA from 1 species